CAGCCCAUUGGCUGGGCCGGGCCAGAGCCUCCGGGCCCGCGUGAUCUGAAGGCCUCUGCCCUGUAGCCAGGGAGGGCCCUAAUCUGGGAGUUGCGGCGGGACCAGGACACGUGACUCUAGCCAUGCUGUCCAGCUGUAGCUGCCACCUUGAAGGACCCCACAGCAAAGCCAUCGCAAAUCCCCAAAGUAUUGACUAAUAGAAGAGAAGAUUAACAGCUGGCCAUCCUACUUUGAAGAUCUAGCUUGAAAAGCUCUUGAAUGUAGUACAAGAACACACAUUUGUCGAGCUAUUUUGCAUCAACUCUAUAUUAGAACAAAAGAGGUUACAGAGCAUAAGGAGCCUAAGGGCUAGUGAGAUGCCCAGCUUUCAUGUAACCUACUCAGGCAAGAGCUCGCCCCCAGGACACCCUAAGAACAGAAGACUGGACAGCUUCUCAGAGAUGAUUGCUGAGGUGUGCGGUAUGGAUGUCUGGAAAGAUACCGAAGAUGAGUAAUACCCAAGGAGGGCUUUGGAGAGGUCUGUCUCCUCCAGUGCACAUUUGCAGCAUGCAGACAGUGUUAGAGGAGCACUCGAAAGAAGCAUUAUUUGCCCUUCCAAGGGCUCAGGGAGUUUCUCCAACUCCAAAGCCAAAGGCCAUGGUGGCACACAUCUGGAAGCCUAUGCUUGUAAGACCCCCGGAAACCUCAGGUAUCCAGGAUCCCAGGCCACGACCGCGGUCACCCGAAUUACCAGGCGGAUUGGAGAGCUUGUUGCAAACUGCAUGAGGCUUUAUUGUAAUUUAACAAGCUAACCUCAUGUUAGCUCGGGUCUUUUGUCCACCCACCAUGGCGGUUGGCUACAAAAGACCAUUUGAACUG